rnacentral:misc_RNA from 1 species
UACGGAGGGUGCAAGCGUUAUCCGGAUUUACUGGGUUUAAAGGGUGCGUAGGCGGAUUUGUAAGUCAGUGGUGAAACUCUUGAGCUUAACUCGAGAACUGCCAUUGAUACUGCUAAUCUUGAGUACAGUUGAGGUGGGCGGAAUGUGUCAUGUAGCGGUGAAAUGCUUAGAUAUGACACAGAACACCAAUUGCGAAGGCAGCUCGCUAAACUGUAACUGACGCUGAGGCACGAAAGCGUGGGGAGCGAACAGG